AGUCUGGAUGGAAAUUCCCCGCUCAUGUGCUGUGUGCCUCUGUGCAAGGCAGACGCUCGUCUGCUUUUUCACUUCGUGCUAGAAAGUUGUGGUGUAAAGACCUGUCCGCGUACUCGUUCCAAUUUCUCGAACAACCAUGUUUUACGAGCCAUGGUUUUUGUUUAAUGUGUUCUCUAGGGACGAGUUCUGGCUCGUACCGCGGCGGGCAGUGAUCGAUCCCGUUUUUCGUGAUUAUAAAUCGCUUUGCUGUACGUUUGAAUUCGCGCGAUUCACGCGCGCUUCACCCGGAAAACGGGCAGGGCGGAAGCCGGCCGGCAGCCGCAGCCUAACCUGCAACUAGGCCAUGUGCUUGUCGUGUUGUUUGUAAACAGAGUCAGUAUUUUCUCAGAUUUUUGUUGUUUUUAACUAUUUCUCAAAGUUUGAGUUAUUUUCCCUUAUUCACUUGGGUAUAAUGAAUUAGUAGAAAUGUUAGCAAAGCGAUUGAAAAGACCGAAUUGUUUAAAACAAAUCAAAUCUGAAAGCCAACCCCCUGCAACUCUCAAGAGAAGUUUUCUUCCAAUCUUUUCACACAACUUUGUAAUAGUCAAGGCUACCUUCAGUUAUUUUAGUGGUUUUAGUAUUGAGUGCAUUUCAAGAAACAACAUGCAGAGAAAAGUGUUGAACUUCUGUGUGGACCCAACCUGAUCUACACUCUGGCAGUCACAAGGGUAUCGACCUGCUGAACUUUUCAAACAACGUGAAGCGGCCCAGCCAGUAUGAAAGAUGAGACCAACUUUAUGAAAAUAGGUGAGUUGAUCUGGAAUGUUUACCUAUUACAUUGGAAAUGAUAGCUUUUUUUAUCUACAUCAAUAGUUUGUGGUGCAUGUUGUCACUUUAAGAAAUAUUUUAAAGAAUUUUUUCGGUUGCAAAUUAUAACAUUACAUUUAAUAUAUUCGCCUCUUAAAUUUUGAAGUGUUAGGAGUGAUACGUUUUAAAAAUAAUGAUUAGUCAGAAUAUGUAACGUAGGUUUAUGCUAAUCAUCAGUAAAGAAACCUUCACUUUACUGUUAUCAACUGAUGUAUUCAUAGGAAACUGAUUUUUUAUUCAAAUGUGAUAGCUGAGUUAUAUUUUUGUUCGAACCAAGGUGUUGAAAAUCAUCUAACUGUUACUAGGAAAUUAUAUUUGUAGUGCUAUUACCAUAACAGCUGUUUUAUAGGUUCAACAUAUUUAGCAACUUUCCGAUCAGUCUUAAGCCGCUAAUUGUGGAGGAAUAGAUUGUACCCUGUUGACAUUGUGCAUAAGAAAUAUUAGGGUGCAUGUCAUCACAUGUUUCAAUAAAUACCAAUCGGCUAGUUAUCCUGGAGCUUUUACCAAAAAGCCAGAGUUUUAUCAUUUGCCUUAGUAUUUGAUACUCAUCCCAAUAAAACAACUUUAUUUUUUAUGAAAUGUUCCUCAAACCAUCUCA